AUGAACGCUGGCGGCGUGCCUAACACAUGCAAGUCGAACGGUCUCGCAAGAGAUAGUGGCGCACGGGUGAGGAACACGUAGCUUACCUGCCCUUUACACUGAGAUAACUCUGCGAAAGCAGAGCUAAUAUCGGAUAAGCUCACGGGGUAUAGAUCCCCUGUGAGAAAAGCUCCGGCGGUAAAGGAGGGGGCUGCGGCCCAUCAGCUAGUUGGCGAGGUAACGGCUCACCAAGGCGACGACGGGUAGGGGACCUGAGAGGGUGACCCCCCACACUGGGACUGAGACACGGCCCAGACUCCUACGGGAGGCAGCAGUGAGGAAUAUUGCUCAAUGGGCGCAAGCCUGAAGCAGCGACGCCGCGUGGACGAUGAAGGUCUUCGGAUCGUAAAGUCCUUUUCUGUGUGACGAGACAAGGACGGUAGCACAGGAAUAAGUGUCGGCUAACUACGUGCCAGCAGCCGCGGUAAUACGUAGGACGCAAGCGUUAUCCGGAGUUACUGGGCGUAAAGAGCGUGUAGGUGGUUUAGCAAGUCAACCGUGAAAGCUCCCGGCUAAACUGGGAGAGGUCGGAUGAGACUGCUAAGCUAGAGGAAGGCAGAGGAGUGUGGAAUUCCGGGUGUAGUGGUGAAAUGCGUAGAGAUCCGGAGGAACACCAGAGGCGAAGGCGGCACUCUGGGCCUUACCUGACACUGAGACGCGAAAGCACGGGGAGCGAACGGGAUUAGAGACCCCGGUAGUCCGUGCCGUAAACGAUGUGUGCUAGAUGUUCGUUUCACUACG
rnacentral:rRNA from 1 species